UUCGGUGGAGGAACCAGACUGGAUGUUGGAAGUGAUGCCCCUCCCACCCUGACGGUGCUGCCCCCCUCCAGUGAGCAGCUGCAGCAGGGGACGGCCACGCUCAUGUGCCUGGCCACCAAGGGCUUCCCCUCAGACUGGAGUCUGUCCUGGAAGGUGGACGGCAGCAGCAGCAGCAGCAGCUGGGAGCAGAGCAGCAGCCCCAGGGUGCUGGAGAAGGACGGCCACUACAGCUGGAGCAGCACCCUGAGGCUCUCUGCAGACCAGUGGAGGAAGGUGGGCUCUGUGACCUGUGAGGCCACCCAGGGCUCCCAGACUCCGCUCUCAGAGACUCUGAGGAGAGACCAGUGUUCCCAGUCCUGAUCUGACUCACUGCUUUUACUCUGCUACUGCUCUCAGUCUGCUCUCUUUCUCUGGUUCUCUCAUGAUGUUUCAACAUUAUCUUGUUCUUGCUUGUGUUGAUAGUUUUAACAUUUUCAAAC